rnacentral:rRNA from 1 species
CGAACUGCCGUUGACAAAACGGAGGAAGGUGGGGAUGACGUCAAAUCAUCAUGCCCCUUAUGUUCUGGGCUACACACGUGCUACAAUGGCCGGUACAGACGGAGGCGAAGCCGCGAGGCGGAGCAAAUCCGAAAAAGCCGGUCUCAGUUCGGAUUGCAGGCUGCAAUUCGCCUGCAUGAAGUCGGAAUCGCUAGUAAUCGCAGGUCAGCAUACUGCGGUGAAUACGUUCCCGGGCCUU